rnacentral:tRNA from 1 species
GCGCCCAUAGCUCAGUUGGAUAGAGCACUGGCCUCCGGAGCCAGGUGCGGGGGUUCAAGUCCCUCUGGGCGCACCA